CUGUACAAGCACUUAGGUGCAGAAUAAUACAAACUCUCCCCCCCGCUGGACGUAGGGCCUUCGCUUGCCCGAACCAGGAUAAAUCUUUGUAUCUUUUUGCAUCACCAUCUGGAAAAGGGAGCACGCAUACAAAUUUACUGGUUGGUGUGACCCCCUGGGGGGAAAACACCGACAAUAUUAUUAUUAUUAUUAUGUUUUGUGUGUCUCUACUAUAUUUUUGUGCAAGAAAGCAAAAAACAAGUAUGGGGGAGAUCCCUCGACAUGGCAAACACACUUCGACUACACCACUCCACGAUUCAGGUACACACUCUACACACUUUACACAUACAUAUCUUGGAUUAUGUAGAAUAUUGUCUCCGACAUGAUAAAAUUAAAAAGAUUAAAAUGUUUCUAAUCAUGAUUAGUCUCACUUUGUGAUAUUUCCUGAAACCUGCAAUUAUUGAAAAUUCAUUUUAAAACCCUGUGUUACUUAAGUCAUUGUGGAAUGUGAGAUGUUAGAGUACGAGUUUCUUAUUCUUGAUAUCAUUGUUGCUUGGAGAAUUUAUUUCAAAAAUCUUCAAAAUUUUAGCUACCAUCCUCAGUGUUUUAUAUGCCUGAUAAACCUGAAAAUAUUAAUAAUUAUAAAAGCUAUCUACUCUGUAUUGAGUUUGUUUAAAACGAGUUAGACCCUUGUUGAGAGAUUUAUCAUGCUCCUAAGAUCAAGACAUUUAUUCAGAAAGAUUCACUCUUCCGAAAUAUUAUUGCAUUAGAGGCAUGGGGUAUGCAAGAAUAAGGAUAUUUUGAGGAAAUAAAAAGGAGCUAGUGCUCGAUAACCUCAUAGAAAAAAAUGGGCAAGUGUCCGGCAGUAGAAUUAGGGGUACCUCGGUAUCCACUUAAAAAAAGAGAGAAAAAAGAAAAUGAUAGCCCAUGGUCCCUCUAUUAAGCAAUAUGCCAGCAAGAGUUGACAAGUUUUUAAUUUCCAAAGUCUUUGAUCUAAGAGUAUGGCAUUCUUCUCCUCGGAUCCCGUUUUGAUCAGACAAUAAAUGCAUGGUAAGUAUGCUUGAGAAUUUUUGCAAAUUAAAACAGCCUCAGUGAGAAAAAAAAUAAAAGAUAAUGAGUGAUCUGAGAGAACCUAUGAGGAUAAAAGGGUAUGCUAAAUUUCUUUUCAAAAAUAUGCAAAAACUCCAAGUGAUAGGAUUGAGAAGAAAGGAUCUCUACUCUUGAUCAUAUAUUUUCCAUGACUAUGGUACACAGUGAAUUUUUACACCUUGCAGGUAUGAAGAGAAUGUUUUAAAAAGUUUUACCCCAGAAUUUCUUCUUAACCAUCCUUUUCUCGAGGAUGAGUAAAAGCCUAAGUAUGGGGGUAUUUGUUGACGGUUCUUAAGUAUCAAUUUUAAUUGUCAAAUAAACAAGAGAAAGGACCAAUAUACAAACAACACCUAGAAUUAGGGUUUGAUCUGACAGAAUUCCACGAGUUUUGUUGUUUAUCUAUUUUUGCAGGGGG
rnacentral:lncRNA from 1 species